rnacentral:rRNA from 1 species
UACGAAGGGGGCUAGCGCUGUUCGGAAUUACUGGGCGUAAAGCGCACGUAGGCGGGUCGUUAAGUCAGGGGUGAAAUCCCAGAGCUCAACUCUGGAACUGCCUUUGAUACUGGCGGCCUUGAGGCCGGAAGAGGUUAGUGGAAUUCCCAGUGUAGAGGUGAAAUUCGUAGAUAUUGGGAAGAACACCAGUGGCGAAGGCGGCUAACUGGUCCGGAUCUGACGCUGAGGUGCGAAAGCGUGGGGAGCAAACAGG